GAUGAACGCUGGCGGCGUACCUAAUACAUGCAAGUCGAGCGAACAGACGAGGAGCUUGCUCCUCUGACGUUAGCGGCGGACGGGUGAGUAACACGUGGAUAACCUACCUAUAAGACUGGGAUAACUUCGGGAAACCGGAGCUAAUACCGGAUAAUAUAUUGAACCGCAUGGUUCAAUAGUGAAAGACGGUUUUGCUGUCACUUAUAGAUGGAUCCGCGCCGCAUUAGCUAGUUGGUAAGGUAACGGCUUACCAAGGCAACGAUGCGUAGCCGACCUGAGAGGGUGAUCGGCCACACUGGAACUGAGACACGGUCCAGACUCCUACGGGAGGCAGCAGUAGGGAAUCUUCCGCAAUGGGCGAAAGCCUGACGGAGCAACGCCGCGUGAGUGAUGAAGGUCUUCGGAUCGUAAAACUCUGUUAUUAGGGAAGAACAAAUGUGUAAGUAACUAUGCACGUCUUGACGGUACCUAAUCAGAAAGCCACGGCUAACUACGU
rnacentral:rRNA from 1 species